CAUGACCUUUCAUUUUCUAUUAUAUAUUAUAAUAUAUAUAAUGUAAUAAUAAAUGCUUCUCUCUCUCAGUUCUUUCUCAGUCUCCAUUCUUAUUUUUUCUCUAUUAUUUUCCUAUUUUUCAGAUCUCUUUCUCUUUUUAUCUUCUUCAUCUUAAUAAUCUUGUAGGCGGCUUCAAUUAAGCAUUGGUGCAGCGACGAAGUGCAACGGAGGAGGAGCAGAGGUGCGGCAACGGAGCAGAGCAGAGGAGCAGAUGUUCGACGGCAAGGCGAGACAAGGCAAAGAAAGCUGGGUGCGACGACGAAGUGCAGCGAGGCUUCAUCGUUGUUGGGUCCACCUUCGUCACCUCUGAGAUCUGAAAAAAAAAUGCUCAUUGUCAAUGUCUUUCUUGAAUCUUUUAUUUGUUGAAAAGGACCAGUGGCCCCGAAGAUCAACAACAGGAAAAUGGACAGGUGAAGAGGUAAAUACAAUCUUCUUUGACUAUAACAAGCUUCAAUUUAGCUUUGGAUUGAGCAUUAAGUCAGGUUUGUAGUUCACUUCUAAUUUUCUAUAUGAUAAUCAUAUAUGCUUUUUGAUACCUCUUAUUGUUUCAGUCCGUUCUUUGCUCUUACUUUCAACGCUCCAUUUAUUUCCUCACCGUUUUUGCUCUUGUUUUGGCAAACUUAAAGUCUGUCCAUUUUUAGAAUUUUUUUAUGGCAGUUUUGAUUGAUAAACAAGGGCAUUUGUCUUCCUUAAUGUUGUAUUUGGUUCAUUACUUAUGAAAAUUCACUUGAGUUUGAUUUUGUUUCUAUAUGACAAUUAAGAUUAUGGUGUUUGAUGGCAAGUAUCAUGGUAGAAUGUGUGUUGAUAUUCUCACGAUCUUGCUGCAAUAUGGGUUUUUUAUUUGAGAUCAAUGGAAAAGUCUCUCCUUGUUAAGUGUGGUGGGAAGAAUACAUAUACACUUGGAGAAAUUAAUAAACUCGAAAUGAAUGGGCAGCCAAGCUUCUUGAGCUGAUGAGUCAUAGCUAGAGUAAUUUUUGAAAUCAGAAUUAAAAAGGGACGAUGCUCGUACAUAAAUUGUCAUCUCAUGUACUGCAGGAGGACGAUGCUUGAAUAGGAACUAUCGUCUCAUUUACUGCAGUGGAUGACGCUUGCACAGAAACUGUCGUCUCAUGUACCACAAGAGACAACGUUUGUAUAAGAACCAUCGUCUCAUGUAUGACAGGAGAUGACACUUUCAUUUAAACUGUCGUUUCAUAUUUUACAUGGCAUGACAUUGCUUGGAACAACGCUAUUAUAACCAACGUAUGAGUGUAACGCCCUGGUUACCCCAGAACAAUUACGGUGAACAGUGAACCGGAAAUUUGACUCGCUACCCGAGUCCUUUGGUUAAAAACGUGGUCUAGGUACUAUUAACAGGUUAAGGUGAAAAACCAAUAAAAAGGAAAUGGUA